rnacentral:rRNA from 1 species
CAGUAGCCGCGGUAAUGCGUAGGUCCCGAGCGUUGUCCGGAUUUAUUGGGCGUAAAGCGAGCGCAGGCGGUUAGAUAAGUCUGAAGUUAAAGGCUGUGGCUUAACCAUAGUACGCUUUGGAAACUGUUUAACUUGAGUGCAAGAGGGGAGAGUGGAAUUCCAUGUGUAGCGGUGAAAUGCGUAGAUAUAUGGAGGAACACCGGUGGCGAAAGCGGCUCUCUGGCUUGUAACUGACGCUGAGGCUCGAAAGCGUGGGGAGCAAACAGGAUUAGAUACCCCGGUAGUCCCUGUCUCUUAUACA